rnacentral:tRNA from 1 species
GGCCGACUGGCCUAAUGGUUAAGGCGUCAGUUUCCGGCUUUGAAGUGUAAGCUGAAGAUUCUGGGUUCGAAUCCCAGGUUGGUCG